AAAGAACAUAAUCGUGAUUUGCACAUAUUGCAGCGAUUUAAAAUAACUUGCUAAAAAGUCUUCUCAUUGAAAACA
rnacentral:ncRNA from 1 species